rnacentral:rRNA from 1 species
CCUACGGGAGGCAGCAGUGAGGAAUAUUGGUCAAUGGACGCAAGUCUGAACCAGCCAUGCCGCGUGCAGGAAGACGGCUCUAUGAGUUGUAAACUGCUUUUGUACGAGGGUAAACGCAGAUACGUGUAUCUGUCUGAAAGUAUCGUACGAAUAAGGAUCGGCUAACUCCGUGCCAGCAGCCGCGGUAAUACGGAGGAUGUAAGCGUUAUCCGGAUUUAUUGGGUUUAAAGGGUGCGUAGGCUGUCGGCUAAGUUAGAGGUGAAAUCUUGUGGCUCAACUUCGAAAUUGCCGUGGAUACUGUAAGACAGGAGAGUGUGUGAGGAGGGCGGAAUGUGGGGUGGAGCGGUG